UACGUAGGGUGCAAGCGUUAAUCGGAAUUACUGGGCGUAAAGGGUGCGCAGGCGGUUCUGUAAGUCAGAUGUGAAAUCCCCGGGCUUAACCUGGGAACUGCGUUUGAAACUGCAGAGCUAGAGUGCGGCAGAGGGAGGUGGAAUUCCAUGUGUAGCAGUGAAAUGCGUAGAGAUAUGGAAGAACAUCGAUGGCGAAGGCAACCUCCUGGGCUAGCACUGACGCUCAUGCACGAAAGCGUGGGGAGCAAACAGGAUUAGAUACCCUGGUAGUCCACGCCCUAAACUAUGUCAACUAGUUGUCGGGCCUUAAUAGGCUUGGUAACGUAGCUAACGCGUGAAGUUGACCGCCUGGGGAGUACGGUCGCAAGAUUAAA
rnacentral:rRNA from 1 species